GCCUCCGUGGCACAAUCGGUUAGCGCGUUCGGCUGUUAACCGAAAGGUUGGUGAUUCGAGCCCAACCGGGGGCG
rnacentral:tRNA from 1 species